UAAAAUGAUGUAAUAAGUAACACUUUUAACGAAUUUCUAAUUUUAUUAUUAAUUUUAUUAGUAGAGUGAUAAGAUAAUCGCUACAUUUGAAGGAUUAUAUUCUGCAACGUACCUCUAAUUUGUAAACGCCAGGUAAUAGGAUUCUCCAAAAUUCGCCAUACUUGGUUGUCGAAAAGCUGACGUCUCGUGAUUUUACUUUAACCGUCGCUCUCUCAAUGGGAUUACCAUUUUCAUCGACAACGAAACCAUGAACACCUCUAUGAACUUCUGCCAAGAACUUGAUUAAAGACUAAAAAAACAACGGAGAACAUUAUACGCACUGAUAAAUUUCACGGAUCUCAACCAAAUUAUUCCUUUAUCUUGUUACAUCGGUGACGUAAUUAAAAAAUCAUUGAGUCAUCAUCUGAAGCAUUAUUUGUAAUAACAGACUUGACUUGAGCAGAUUUACAACAGAAUGAUAAAUUGAGGAGGAUAUGUGAAAUCUCUUGCAAAGUUUUUUUAAAUGUAUUUCGCGAGACUCACCGCUCGAUUUUCCUCCCAAUAAUGUGGCAAAUCCGAGGCCGGCGGAUAUUUGCAGCAAGAAAGUUCCAAGAUUAAAAAACGAUGCAAAUAUCUAACCUGCCUUGACCACCGUCGCAGCGUCCUUCUUUAGAAACUUCAAAGCCAUCAGGAUUCAUUGACGGCAGAAUAUGAAUCCUUGUAUUAUCCAAUAACCACGUAAUAUAUGCAUCUGAUCCAUACGAUGUUACGAGGGACUAAAAGGAAGAAAAGAGAGAAUAGAAUUAUAUCCAAAAAAAUAUUUGUGUCAUUUGUUUGUCGAAUAAAAAUAGAUUAUUAAUAUUGUCAAUAUUAUUAUUAAUUUUAAGAAUAUUGUACACAAUGAUCUGGUGGAAAAAUAUACGUGCUGCAUAUACACGUGUUUGCAAGUAAUUCGUAUCACGUCAUUGCAAGUAACGUGAUAUGGAAAUUCCAACGCCUCUUAAUUACAUACAUGAAUGAGAUGUAGCAUUAACUCGCGUCCCACAGCUUCGUUUCCGUGUAUGUUAGCGAUAUACUUUACAUCGGGCUUCCCGAUCAUGUGCUCGUAAGGUGAUGACGACACGACCAUUACCCAUAGAUCACGACCUGGCACGAGAGAGAUGUGCUGUUCUCUUUUUAUCAAAAAAUCGAUGCGAUAUAAGUGUUUUAUCUCUGAACGAUGUAUUCACACCGCAUUCUUUUAUGCAUAUAAGAGAAUUCGUACCUUUCACCGACUUUCCUAUCGAGUACAGAGCGGUGAGAUUUUGAAAUCGAAGGGAUGUCGCGCGAAGAAAGCGGC